GUUUACCUGUGUGUUGUAGUUUCUCUGACCUCCUGCUGUGUGUUUAGGACACCUUUGAGCGAGCGAAGGCCUGGGUGAAGGAGCUGCAGAGGCAGGCCAGUCCCAACAUCGUGAUCGCUCUGGCUGGGAACAAGGCGGACCUGGCAGAGAGGAGACUAGUGGAGUACGAGGACGCCCAGACGUACGCUGAAGACACCGGCUUGCUCUUCAUGGAGACCUCUGCUAAAACAGCCAUGAACGUCAAUGAGCUCUUCCUGGCUAUUG